AGAGUUUGAUCCUGGCUCAGAAUCAACGCUGGCGGCGCGCUUAACACAUGCAAGUCGCACGAGAAAGGGAGCAAUCCUGAGUAAAGUGGCGUACGGGUGAGUAACACGUGGAUCAUCUACCUUUUAGUGGGGAAUACCCCUGGGAAACUGGGGACAAUACCGCAUAAGCUCGUGAGAGGAAAGCAGCAAUGCGCUGAAAGAGGAGUCCGCGGCUGAUUAGCUAGUUGGUGAGGUAACGGCCCACCAAGGCGAAGAUCGGUAGCCGGCCUGAGAGGGCACACGGCCACACUGGCACUGAAACACGGGCCAGACUCCUACGGGAGGCAGCAGUGGGGAAUCUUGCACAAUGGAGGAAACUCUGAUGCAGCGACGCCGCGUGAGCGAUGAAGCCCUUCGGGGUGUAAAGCUCUUUCGACGGGAACGAUAAUGACGGUACCCGAAGAAGAAGCUGCGGCUAACUACGUGCCAGCAGCCGCGGUAAUACGUAGGCAGCAAGCGUUGUUCGGAAUUACUGGGCGUAAAGAGUGUGUAGGCGGUGCACUAAGUCUGUCGUGAAAUCUCCCGGCUUAACUGGGAGGGUGCGGCGGAAACUGGUGUGCUUGAGGAUGGGAGAGGUAAGCGGAAUUCCUGGUGUAGCGGUGAAAUGCGUAGAUAUCAGGAGGAACACCUGGUGUAGACAGCUUACUGGACCAUUUCUGACGCUGAGACACGAAAGCGUGGGUAGCAAACAGGAUUAGAUACCCUAGUAGUCC
rnacentral:rRNA from 1 species